rnacentral:rRNA from 1 species
UUGAACGCUGGCGGCAUGCCUUACACAUGCAAGUCGAACGGCAGCAUGAUCUAGCUUGCUAGAUUGAUGGCGAGUGGCGAACGGGUGAGUAAUACAUCGGAACGUGCCCUGUAGUGGGGGAUAACUAGUCGAAAGAUUAGCUAAUACCGCAUACGACCUGAGGGUGCAAGUGGGGGACCGCAAGGCCUCAUGCUAUAGGAGCGGCCGAUGUCUGAUUAGCUAGUUGGUGAGGUAAAGGCUCACCAAGGCGACGAUCAGUAGCUGGUCUGAGAGGACGAUCAGCCACACUGGGACUGAGACACGGCCCAGACUCCUACGGGAGGCAGCAGUGGGGAAUUUUGGACAAUGGGCGAAAGCCUGAUCCAGCAAUGCCGCGUGUGUGAAGAAGGCCUUCGGGUUGUAAAGCACUUUUGUCCGGAAAGAAAUGGCUCUGGUUAAUACCUGGGGUCGAUGACGGUACCGGAAGAAUAAGGACCGGCUAACUACGUG